rnacentral:rRNA from 1 species
AUUGAACGCUGGCGGCAGGCCUAACACAUGCAAGUCGAGCGAGCGGCGGACGGGUGAGUAAUGUAUGUGGGUCAGCCCCAUAGAGAGGGAUAACUCCUGUAAACGGUGGCGAAUACCCCAUACUGUCGGAUGAACCCACAUGGGAUUAGCUAGUAGGUAAGGUAAUGGCUUACCUAGGCGACGAUCCCUAGCUGGUCUGAGAGGAUGAUCAGCCACACUGGAACUGAGACACGGCCCAGACUCCUACGGGAGGCAGCAGUGGGGAAUAUUGCACAAUGGGCGCAAGCCUGAUGCAGCCAUGCCGCGUGUAUGAAGAAGGCCGUAGGGUUGUAAAGUACUUUCAGUGGGGAGGCGUUACCGACAGAAGAAGCACCGGCUAACUCCGUGCCAGCAGCCGCGGUAAUUC